GACAGAUCCGUCUGAACUUGUUUAGUAACAUUAGCCAGCGCAGUAAUUGAGUCAACGACUUCGGCAGUUUGCGUGAACGGAUCGUAGCAGACUUCGUAAGGUCGACGUAUGUUCUCGGCUACCCAACCGCUAUUUUUUCAAAAACAUAUUUCAAUGUUACAAACCGGAACUUUUGAAGGGCAUCUUCCAGACUCUCUGCUACGAAAUAGACAUCCUGAUAAUCCUGAUCCUGAUAGGGUUGAACAGCGCAGACGGUCGGAUCGAAAGCCAGUAAACUAGGUUUCCCGGAUAGGGCAUGCUUAAGUUCUCCGUAACUUGAAAGCAAACCAGCUCCGUAUGCCUUGAGUUCCCCAUUUUGUUUGCAGAGCCCGAACUCGACCGUGAACCAAUACAUCUGCGUCGUAAACAAAAAUAAAUUCAUAGGAGCGUGUUGUUGUUUAUGUAUCGAAUCGCAAUAUUAUAUGGGUUUAAAAAACCAAAACAAAGUACUACCGUCGAGAAUUUUUCAAUGUCACUGUCGCUUGCCCCUAGCGAGGCUAAACCCAAUUCUUGGGAAAAUUGGGCAAAAUUUCUGUCAGCCAGGAUUGGAACAUGUCCCAACAGCUCGUGAAUUGAGUCCCUAUUUCAAACAAUUUUAAAAGUAUGUUAUUACAUAAAUUUGUUGUUUUAUUUUUUUCUGUUGUUAUAGGCUUACGGUUCCGGAGAGUGAUAGGGAGAGGAAGAAUGUCGAACGUAUCUGGUUUUAAAUAAAGAAAUGAUUAUUAGAAUUGAGUUUUGACAAUUUUUAUGUAGGCUCUCGUUAAAACAACAUACUGGGUGCAUUGAAAUACGCGAUAAGCCAAGCUUGCAAGAAAAUCGCGAGCCGUCAACAAACCAGCUGCCGGACGAAGAGAAAAGCCAGUCCUUCCUGCAUUUUUAUGAAAAUUUAAAUGCAUUUGUAGUUAGUAUUUUAAAAUUUAUUACUUUUAAGAAAGUUGGAAAUGUCCUCUAGUUGCGGAAUGUUGUCUGCCGCGUAUCCGCAUUCCUUUUCCAAUAGAGUAAGAGCUUCCAAAUGCUGGCGACACGCGUGUUUCGGCAAAAGUGACAUCAGUUCUGUGUAAACAGCUUUCCAAGUGGUUUUGUCUUCGAGCGAAUAUUCAACGCGUGGAAUAGGCUCUCCGCUAUCGAAAAAUACCAAUCCAAACUGAAAUUCUUAAUCACACAAAUACUAGUCGAAAAUCAACAAUAGAAUACUGUUUAUAAUUGAAAGCAAUAUUAGCAAUAUCUUGACGCCGUUUUCGAUAGACAACGUCAGUAAAGCCAGGAUGGCCUUGGUCUAGAUCUGGUUCGUAACGUGUCACCAAAUGAUUGCAUAAAUCCAAUUCGGAAAUAUGCUUUGGAAACCAAAUUUCUAUUUAUCAAAUAAGAAUUACUUAUUUACAUUUUUCAUUUUUUUUUUGUCUUCUCGAUGGCCGAAAUAGAGCAGCAUUCGUCUUACCUGGUAUGUCUCCGACAAAGUUGGUUGCACUGGCGACCGUCACACGGCUAAGUGAUGUACUUUGCUUCAUUAACUUGAGCAGUGAUACAAGAUUGUCGCGAGCGAUAUCUAGCUUCAAAAUCACUUCGAAUUGGGGCUCCUCUUUGUUGUGUGAUGGACGCGAUUCUACGUGCAACAGCGUCCCCUUGCAAUGCUGAUUUAAACGAGUAAAUUGUUUCACACAUGAAUCAAAAUUUUAUGAAACAAGAGGGUUUACCUGGAUUGUUUUGAAUGUUCGAGACAGCGUUACCAGUUCUUCGCGCAUACGGAUAAUUAUCGCCACCAAAAGUCUUCCAUUUUCUCCGACAGUAAAAGCGUCUUCCGGUAAAACGAGUUCCUCCUGCGACGUCGAAUUUUCUGUGCUUGCAAUAAAAUUUUUUUGGGGGAAUCCGUUUGGAAUUUAUCGGAUGAUUAUUUUUGAACUUACCGCGAGAGAGUGAAUUUUCGUGAAGUAAAUUUUCUCGAUUCUGUCUGUUCACUUUUGUUUCGAAACGUGCGUCGUCCACCAGAGACCGACGUCUUCCGGCAUAUCCGUUCUAUGGCCAUUAAUGACGCAUAUAUACGUUUAGUUAAUUUGUUGGCAAGAUCACAUUGGAAAAUUGGACAUACACGAUAGCAUAUCCUAA
rnacentral:lncRNA from 1 species